rnacentral:rRNA from 1 species
AACAGGAUUAGAUACCCUGGUAGUCCACGCCGUAAACGAUGUCGACUUGGAGGUUGUGCCCUUGAGGCGUGGCUUCCGGAGCUAACGCGUUAAGUCGACCGCCUGGGGAGUACGGCCGCAAGGUUAAAACACAAAUGAAUUGACGGGGGCCCGCACAAGCGGUGGAGCAUGUGGUUUAAUUCGAUGCAACGCGAAGAACCUUACCUGGUCUUGACAUCCACGGAAGUUUUCAGAGAUGAGAAUGUGCCUUCGGGAACCGUGAGACAGGUGCUGCAUGGCUGUCGUCAGCUCGUGUUGUGAAAUGUUGGGUUAAGUCCCGCAACGAGCGCAACCCUUAUCCUUUGUUGCCAGCGGUCCGGCCGGGAACUCAAAGGAGACUGCCAGUGAUAAACUGGAGGAAGGUGGGGAUGACGUCAAGUCAUCAUGGCCCUUACGACCAGGGCUACACACGUGCUACAAUGGCGCAUACAAAGAGAAGCGACCUCGCGAGAGCAAGCGGACCUCAUAAAGUGCGUCGUAGUCCGGAUUGGAGUCUGCAACUCGACUCCAUGAAGUCGGAAUCGCUAGUAAUCGUGGAUCAGAAUGCCACGGUGAAUACGUUCCCGGGCCUUGUACACACCGCCCGUCACACCAUGGGAGUGGGUUGCAAAAGAAGUAGGUAGCUUAACCUUCGGGAGGGCGCUUACCACUUUGUGAUUCAUGACUGGGGUGAAGUCGUAACAAGGUAACC